GACAGAGGGUGCAAACGUUGUUCGGAAUUACUGGGCGUAAAGCGCGUGUAGGCGGCUCGGAAAGUCGGGUGUGAAAGCCCCGGGCUCAACCUGGGAAUUGCAUUCGAGACUGAAUAGCUAGGGUACGGUAGAGGGAAGCGGAAUUUCCGGUGUAGCGGUGAAAUGCGUAGAUAUCGGAAGGAACAUCAGUGGCGAAAGCGGCUUCCUGGACCAGUACCGACGUUCAGGCACGAAAGCGUGGGGAGCAAACAGG
rnacentral:rRNA from 1 species